rnacentral:hammerhead_ribozyme from 1 species
AUCUAGCUGAAGGGUCCUAAAAAGGACGGAACACGUGUUCUGCAU